CUUAUUUGGGGCCCCAGCUUGGCUCCACUCAAAAUUCAGACAUCUUGGGUGUGAAAAUCAAGGAAACCUUAACAAUGCGGUGGGGAAGGCCUGAAGGAAGAGGUCUCAGCAGGUACCACACAGUCCACACAGCCAGCAGGGGAAAGGAAGAGUGGCCAAAACCACAGACCCUAUAGCCAGAGUCCUGGGGUUUGAAUGCCUGACUUUUGCCAUUUGCAAGCUAUUUUACUCUGAAAUGUUGGAGCCAAAAUGAUACAGUCAGAGCUUACCUUCCCGAUUCAGAUUCCAGAGGAUCAUCAGUGAAUGUUUCUGCAUUAAAAUCCAAAGGUUCUACAUCUUGGAGGAGUUCUAUUCGGUCCCUUUCAGUUCUGUUACUGGCCCUGUUAUAUUUGGAUGCUGCUGUAAAGGAACAAAAAAAGAUCUGUCUACUUUUCUAUUGUCCUCAUGGGUCACAGUCUAUGGACUCACAAAAAAAGUCAAGAUUUUAAAGGAUCUGAAUUUUGAUUGUGAAGAUAAUAGCAAGAAAAGAUAAUUACUUGAUUCCUUCAAAAUCAGAUUCAAAUGAAAAAUGGAGGAGGUUAGUUUGCCUCAGCAGAGGACUAAAGAAAAACUGAAGAGGAAUAUAAUUAAUGUCAUAUUAUAAAAAAGCAUAACAAUUUUAAAGCAAUCAAAAUGACUUUAAUAAUAAGACUGCGUGAUUUUAUUAAUUCAUUCAAUAAGUAUUCACAAAGCACUGAGCUUAGGCAAGAAACUGCUAGACACUGGACACAAAGUAACUUAAAACUAGUGACUUUUUGGAACAGGUCUGACCAAAAAAUGCUUAGCAUGU